rnacentral:lncRNA from 1 species
UCUGAUUUUAGCUCUGUAUCUAAUGAGGCCGAGCACUCUAUAGUGCCAGACUCACCAAUGGAUCAUGGCCUACACAACGAGGGCCUUUGGGGGAACAGUAUGAACCAAAGUCCAACUCGUGGACCGGAUGAUGAGGACGUCAAUGAAUGUCUGCACCAUGGCCCACAAACGACCUCUCUUCCAUCGGAUCAGCCCACCAUAGAGAAAUGCCCCCCAAUACAAACUUCUGAGAAUGUCACGCAUGUGAAAGAAGCCGAUGGUAAUUUAGUCAGGGGGAGCACAGCAAAUUCACAUGUAGGAG